CCUACGGGUGGCAGCAGUGAGGAAUAUUGGUCAAUGGACGCAAGUCUGAACCAGCCAUGCCGCGUGAAGGAAGACGGUUCCAAGAGUUGUAAACUGCUUUUGUACAAGGGUAAAAGCAGGUUCGCGAGUCUGACUGAAAGUACCUUACGAAAAAGGAUCGGCUAACUCCGUGCCAGCAGCCGCGGUAAUACGGAGGAUGCAAGCGUUUUCCGGAUUUAUUGGGUUUAAAGGGUGCGUAGGCGGUCGGAUAAGUUAGAUGUGAAAUCCCGAGGCUCAACUUCGGAAGUGCCUUUGAUCCUGGGCGUCUAGAGAGUAGUUGCGGUAGGCGGAAUG
rnacentral:rRNA from 1 species